UACGAAGGGUGCUAGCGUUGGUCGGACUUACUGGGCGUAAAGCGCACGCCGGCGGCUUGUCAAGUUAGAUGUGAAAGCCCGGGGCUUAACCCCGGAAUUGCAUUUGAAACUGGCUCGCUAGAGAUAGGUAGAGGAGAGUGGAAUUCCCAGUGUAGAGGUGAAAUUCGUAGAUAUUGGGAGGAACACCGGAGGCGAAGGCGGCUCUCUGUACCUAUUCUGACGCUCAUGUGCGAAAGCGUGGGGAGCAAACAGU
rnacentral:rRNA from 1 species